rnacentral:rRNA from 1 species
GACGAACCGUGCGAACGUUGUUCGGAAUCACUGGGCUUAAAGGGCGCGUAGGCGGGCUGCCAAGUCCGUGGUGAAAUCCCUCGGCUUAACCAAGGAAGUGCAUCCGAAACUGCUGUGCUUGAGUACUUAAGAGGAUCGCGGAAUCCCGGUGUAGAGGUGAAAUUCGUAGAUAUCGGGAGGAACACCAGUGGCGAAGGCGGCGAUCUGGGAAGAUACUGACGCUGAGGUGCGAAAGCGUGGGGGAGCAAACAGG